rnacentral:RNase_P_RNA from 1 species
AGUAAGCCGGACGGUCGCGGGCAUUUAUGCCUGAGGAAAGUCCGGGCUUCGCAGGGCAGGGUGCCGGAUAACGUCCGGUGAAGGUGACUUCAAGGAAAGUGCAACAGAAAAUUACCGCCGGCUUGCCGGUAAGGUUGAAAAGGCGAGGUAAGAGCUCACCGGCCUUAUGGUAACAUAAGGCGUCCAUGUAAACCCCACCUGAAGCAACAUCGAUAUGGAGCUAUGAUUUGCCCGAUCGCUCCGAAGAUGGCUUAGACAGAUGACCGUUCUCGACAGAACCCGGCUUACAGGCUUACUUG